rnacentral:rRNA from 1 species
CCUACGGGUGGCAGCAGUGGGGAAUAUUGCGCAAUGGGCGAAACCCUGAUGCAGCGACGCCGCGUGAGGGAUGAAGGACUUCGGAAUGUAAAGCUCUAUCAGCAGGGAAGAAAGUGAAGGUUACUAACUAACAAGCCAUGGCUAACUCCGGGACAGCAGCCGCGGUAAUACGUAGGGUGAGAGGGUUAUGGGGAUUUAAUGGGUGUAAAGGGAGCGUAGACGGUCCUGCAAGACAGAGGUGAAAGCCCGGGGCUAAACCUCGGGACUGCUUUUGGAACUGUAAGGCUAGAGUGUCGGAGAGGCAGGUGGAAUUCCUGGUGUAGCGGUGAAAUCCGUAGAUAUUAGGAGGAACACCAGUGGCGAAGGCGGCCAGCUGGACGAUGACUGACGCUGAGGCGCGAAAGCGUGGGUAGCAAACAGGAUUAGAUACCCGAGUAGUC